rnacentral:lncRNA from 1 species
UGAUUAAGAAUAGUUUAUAGAAGACUAGGAGAUGAGAGCUUACAUUUGAAAAAAAAUGAAGUGUUUUGUUUCCUUCCCUCUAACAGACAUCUAAACAUUUCUUUUGACCUAAUGUGGUGUGAUGGGUGGAGRGAGGCCGGAAGGGAUGUAAUACCGGGUACUGCUUCUUCAAUGAGCACAUUUUGAUCGCAGAUCUGAAGACAUUUUUUCAAAAUGGCAAGUGAGGUGAUUUAUGCAGAAGUAUCACCAGAAGAGAGAGGGCAUUUUACUUCACAAACUUCAGAUGAAGGUGAUAGGACGACAUACGCUGAGGUGAAAGUGAAAUGGAAAUCUGACACGUCUGACAAUACACCCAAGACUACACAUACAGUGGUCUGCUCUGAGAAUUCACACUGGUGUUACGUUGCUAUUGCGCUGUACUUCACCGCAGUGAUUCUGCUCAUCACUGUGAUCCUCUUAGCUGUGAAAUGUCAUCAUCUCUGAGGUGAAUGGUGCAGUCCAGCUGACAUACAGGGCUUACUCUCCCUGGCAGUUGUCUCUUGCCAUGCUGAAGACACCACAGUGGAUCCUGUGUCAAACCAAUGUCCAGUCACUAAGAAGGCAAGGGCAAGUCACAGCAGGAGGGCAGCAGCUCACGAUUUUUGUUUGCAGCAGCACGCCUCAUCCCAAAGCAUGACACGUUGUGCCAUGGCCCUCAUGGCACGUAGCUGCCCUCCCUUUGCUCCAGAGGACACUUACAGCAUGCUGAAUUUCAAAAAGAUAUUCAACUUCUAAGAGCUUCUGUCUUUUUUAUUUCCAGAAAAGUCAGCUUGAGAAGGCUCUGCUCCUUCAACAAAACAUGGUAUAAUACUUGUUUACUUUUAUAUUAUUUUCUCUGAAGAGACUUUUAUGAAAGAAGACAUGCUGUCAGUCUGAUCACACUUCAGUUACUUCUACCAGGAGUUUCAUGAAACCUUCAACCUCCCCAUAUAUGGAUAAAAUAUAUCUUAUUACUUUUAUUCUGAAUUUGAUUAGACCCAUAAUACCAGCAGCCAUUCAAUGAUAUCAGUGCUUGUGACAAGGCAUGGCCUCAAGUUGCUGAAUUAAAAGUUGGAUUUGAGGCUUGUCUAGGCAGAGCAAAUGUCCAGAUGGGCCAAUUUGAGACAUCACUUGUAAUUCACAUCUGACUUGAUUUUGCAAAAAUUUGCCAUGUACACAAGCUUUUAGAUUUCAAUAUGCUCAAAGGCAAAAAUGCAGGGAUAGAACAGGGAAUGGGAAAGGUUGCACUGGAUGUUUUUUAUGACAUCCUGAUCUAGAUGUGAGUUUUCCUAUCCUGACAGCCCUUGGUGGGAUUUGUAUGAAAGAGAGGUAUUGACAGCACAGGAAAACUGUAUUAGAUUAGUAGAGAAGUUUCAGUCUUGUUCCCUCAUUAGCUUGAACAAAAAAAUUCUAUUCUACUUGUCCAGAACAGUAUUUCACAGAGCCAUAAUAUGUUGUUUCUGUCUUGGGGCAGUAAUUCAUUCUGUGCUAUCUUAUGUUUCCAAAUGGUGUAGCUUCAGUUAAAUCAGAGUCCUCUGCCAGAACCUCAGGUUCAAAUGCAUUUGAUUUUAGUUAUUGUUUUGGUGUUUGAUUUUAUAUGGUUUUAAUUUCUCCUCAGAUAUACUCUAACUCCUUUGGGGCAGGCUGAUAUCAAUGAUUUGCAGUCCUUGAGUCCUGUACAGCAAAUAUUUCUAAGAACUGUUCCCUGUAUUUAACUUUAUCUGUACUUAAGCCAUGUUGUUGUUGCUGUUAAUAAUGUACCACAUUGUUUAUAGUAUAUGCACCAGAUAUCAAUAAAGAGAUUUAUUAAAACA